UUAAGAACAAAUUUCCGCCACUCGCUAAAAUACGCUCUGCGUGCUCUUCACUCUUCGUCCCUAUCCCGCUGCCAGUUUUACUGUUACAUUACAAAUAUUACACAAAAUUCACCGCCUCCGCUUUCCGGCGAGAUACAAGUUGUCGCCUGUCACGUGGAAUUCCACAUUUUUUCCAGAUGCAGUUGUUGUUGGAGGAAUUCGAUUCCUUUUUGCCAAAUGAGAAAUGAAAUUCCUUAAUAAUUUUUUGGCUGAGAAUGAAAAGCAAAGGAAUUUUAAGUGAAGCCAUUAAAUGCUUUUAGUUUCUAUACGGGUAUCUGAUUCUAUAUUCCGUUGGAAUUUGAGGGAUUUUAUUAGCAUUUCGCCCUUACCAAAAUGGCUAUAUAAAUCCAGGAUGCGUAUCAAGGGGCGCCCAUUUUCCUUUUGCGUUUCGCUAUUUUCUUCUCCAAAUCCCAAUCAUAUUCUUGAGCCCUUUUCAUUUUCCUCUUCAAGAAUUUUAUUCAAUUCCGGGAUUUUAUCGUCUCCUCUUUCGGGUCAAUUUCCGAGUAUAAGAAAAGUGACUAGUUGCAAAGGUAAUAACCUUCAUUCCAGAAAUACGAUGGAUGGCAUGGGUGCAGAUGGAAAAACAUUGCCACCCGAGACAACUGAUACCAGUGAUCGUGGUCAGAAUCCCUAUAUAUGGUCUUCUCCUAAAGCAGGACAAAAGAUUGAUAUUGGAAAGCAGAUAUUCUGUAAUAGGUCUUUGAACAUGAAGAACAUCGUUGCAGUGGGAUUUGAUAUGGACUAUACUUUAGCUCAGUACAAACCUGAGACUUUCGAAUCACUUGCUUAUGAAGGCACAGUAAGAAAGCUGGUUUAUGAUUUGCAGUACCCUUCGGAGUUGUUGGAAUGGACAUUUGAUUGGAAAUACAUGGUCAGAGGAUUAGUUCUUGAUAAAAAGAGAGGCAAUAUAUUGAAGAUGGACCGACACAAGUAUGUCAAAGUAGCUUAUCAUGGAUUUAGAGAGAUGUCGAAGGAAGAUAAAGUUGCUACAUAUGGAAGUACUUUGACACGCGACUCGUUUGAUGAACCUGACUAUGCUCUCAUCGAUACCCUUUUCUCUUUGGCUGAAGCUUACUUAUUUGCACAGCUUGUUGACUUCAAGGAUAAUAAUCCAGGAAAAGUUUUGGCAGACUACUCUCAAAUGUACAAAGAUGUUCGAGCAGCGGUGGAUUUGUGCCACCGUGAUGGUACUUUAAAGCAGAUGGUUGCAAAAGAUCUUAGAAGAUAUAUCAAUGAGGAUACCUCAAUUGUUCCCAUGCUAGAAAUGAUUAAAGACUCUGGCCGUGCUACAUUUCUGGUGACGAACAGCUUGUGGGACUAUACAAACAUCGUAAUGAACUUUCUUUGUGGACCAAUCACCAUGAAUAGCUGCUCUGCUUUUCAUUGGCUUCAAUACUUCGAUGUUGUUAUUACUGGCAGUGCAAAACCAGGUUUUUUCCAUGAUGAAAAUCGUGCUAAUCUUUUUGAGGUUGAUCCUGAGUCUGGGAUGCUUCUUAACACUGAUAAUGGCACUCCUAUGCCUACGGUAGAUACUUCAUUGAGGCUGCCCUUGAAUAUAGACAAGAGCUGCAGAGUUUUUCAGGGAGGAAAUGUUGGCCAUCUGCAUAAACUAUUGUCCAUAGAGUCAAGUUCUCAGGUACUUUAUGUUGGGGAUCACAUCUAUGGGGAUAUUUUACGCAGUAAAAAAGUGUUAGGUUGGAGAACAAUGCUUGUAGUUCCGGAGCUUGAGAGGGAGGUUGCACUUCUCUGGGAGUUGAGAGAUACCCGCAAGCAACUCCAGUUAUUGAGGAAUGAAAGAGAUCACAUAGAAGACAAGAUACAUCAUCUCAAAUGGUCUAUCAGGUUUGAUGGCGUGAAUGCUGAUAAUGAGGAAGAUCUAAUUGCCGAGGUUGAUAGACUGAAGGUCAACCUAAUAUUCCUGUCAUAUUCAGUGGGCGAAGCUGUUUUAUGUAGAAUAAACAGAUAAGCGGGUGAAGAAUCUUGUAAGUUUCUUCUUCAUUAUAGUGAAAAAUCUGGAGUGGCAAGUGGACAUAGCUUUAGCAUCAAGGAUUAAAAAAUGUAGAUUGAUUUGUCUGCUUUGUGUGUUUCUGAUUUUGUUUUGCUUAUUAUUUCUCUUGGAGUCAGGAAAAGGUUUGAGAUCUUCCUAACAUUGUCAUCCUUUACAAGUAAGUAACCUUUGAGUGAUAGUUGCGUGCAUGACGCUUAGUCUUUCAUAUAGCUUAACAACUGAAACAAAAGUUUGAAGGCGUUUGUCAUGGUUAGUCCUUUUAGCAGCUCAGGAUUCUGAAAUUACACUGUUUCUGAAUCAAAUAUGUAAUUUUUUCAUAUUUGUUUUACUAACACCUCAAAACUCACAGUCUCAGAGCGAGCAAGUGCGGCUCAAUCAUCAAGAAGCACAACGAGAAUGUCACCAAAUGUUCCACAAGGUCUGGGGACAAUUGAUGAAGACUGGCUAUCAGAAUUCACGCUUCGCACAUCAGGUUGAA